GUUGUAGAUAAAACUCUUCUGCACCCGCACUCAGCCGGCUCCUGGCUGAGGCGGGGCGUGCUGGUGAUGCUCUGAUGAUGGCUCUCCAUUCGCCUUCAUCCUCUGAACUGCUGUUUGUCACAUCGUCCCUCUGAUAUGUCUGUUUGUUCCUUUUCUUUUCCUUUUGGGGCAUUGUGUCUCUUGAUGUGACUUCCUCCUCCACUGGCAAAAAGUCACAAGGCAAUAGUACGUUUCUGUGGAGGACUCGAGUCUUUCCUGGGCCUCUCUCAGGCCGUAUCACAUACACUGGACUGUCUUGUUUCUUGUCAAUGACUACAUGCACUUUUUCUUCCCAGUACGACCGGAAUUUACCAGGGCCUCCUCUCUCUGGCAAGUUGCGAUCCAACACCCUGCAGCCCUGUUGGAGCUCACCUCCGCUUCAGGCCAAACAUGAUGUCUACUUGGAAGCUGUGGACUCCUACCAAAGAGAAGGUAAUAGGGGGAGAAGCCGGUUGCUUCAUUCCGAGUACAAUUGUACGCAUGCACCACUUUGUUCAAAGAACUUUUUCAGUCACUCUUAACUUCUUCUGGCAGAGAUCUCAGCAUGGAAAUAAGGGUUCGGUUAAAUCUCUCCACCUGACCAUUUCCAGCUGGGUGAUAUGGUGUUGUGUGUGAGCCUUGAAUGCCGCAAUAUUCUUUGAGUUUGUAGAACAGCUUGUUCUCAAAUUCUCUGCCUUGAUCGUGCUGAGGCUUGGCGGGAAAGCCAAAUUUCAGCACAAAAUCAGCAAAAAAAACAAAACACUUUUUCAGCUGCAGUCUUGGCAGAUUUGUUGGUGCAUGCGUACGCCCAGGGCUGGACUGGGACCAAAAAAUGGCCCUGGCAUUUUUGGCCAUGGCAGCCCACUAUGAUUAUUUAUACGACAUGCGGAGGCACACAACAUACCAGAGGAUAUAUCCGCAUAUUGUGCUGUUUCAACAAUUAAAAUUAAGCGCAGUAGCCUACAUGGAAGAGAGUAACCAUGUUAAAAAUUGAUACGCUCUUUCACUAUACUUGCAGAGACUUUUGCAGCUAGGUCAAAUCCCCUC
ensembl:lncRNA